rnacentral:tRNA from 1 species
AAAAAGUAGCUUAAAAAAAGCNUUCAAUUAACAACCGGAAAAUAUGGCCCCCAAUCUUUUUAA